UCGAAUCACAUCUUUUCGUUCUUCAUUUCUCCCUCCCUUUCUGUUCAUCCGAAUAACGAUUUAUGAAGCUUUUCGUUCGUCGUCUUCCAUCGCUUCGGUGUAUCUGCACAAAUCGUGGACCUCUCCAUUUUGAAUCUCGGAAAAGCGAACAGAAGUGGUGUGGAGUGAGUAUAACAUUUCUGGAAGUUCCAUUGGCGGCUGAAAUUUCUCGAUAACAUUGUGCUUUUGUAGACUCUUGACAGUGGAAGGAAGAAGGCGAUCGAGUAAUUGGCUAUUACGCGCGUCGAUGUAUAGAAGAUGAUCGAGAUUCUGUAUGAAGCAAACCAACAGUUUCCAGGCUAUAUCUAAGCUGGAGUUUUCUGCGGGAAUAUGUUGUGCUUAACGAAUCGGCUGUAUGCUCAUUCGUCACUGAUCGCAGUUUAGGUUCUUGAUUCCUUAGAUAACCAGAUUGAGCUCAAUUUUCUUUUACUUUUAAGAGUUUCUAUUUUACAGUUUAUGCUGCUGGAUCAUCUAAAAAGCUCAUUCUCGAUUGAAGUGUUUUAGAAACAUCAUUUUCUUCCAAGGUUUACGUCAGAUUAUUUCCGUUUUGUUUCCGCCAAUACUGCCUAAGCUUAAUCAGGGAGGAAACAUCUGCUAAAACACGGUCGGUUUUGGAAUACAUUAUUGGAGACUUUAUGAACUACUAGGAUUCGGUUCGUCAUGUAAUCUUACAAGUGACUCAGUAAAAGUUUUCUGAUCUUUAUUCAGCCUAUCCGCUAAUUUCUCUGUUGUACUUGGCUGAUUUUCUGGUUAUCACUAACACUACUUUUGAUAUGCUGUAUCGAAUAGUGAUUUCGUACAUUUUGUACCGUGGAAGAAAAUAGAGGAUUGAGUAACCAGCAACUCAGGGCGUUGAUAUAUGGCAGAUGAUCAAGAUUCUGCUCGAAGCAAGUGAGUAGAACUCACUUGCUCUGCGAAGAAGGAACUCUCAGUUUGGUCCGAGUCGUAUGUAUCUAAACCUCGGAAAAGUAAUCUCCCAAAGAGACUGCUGCAUCUAAUCAAUCUCUGACUAGUUGAACUUUUGGUUUUGCAUUAUAUCUACGCUGGAUUUCGAACGGGAUUGAGGUUUCUGCGAGAUUAUCUCGUGCUUCUCAAGCUGACAGUAAGCUCAUUCUUCACUGCUUGCAGGGAGGAGCAUCUACUCAAAAUUGGUCAGUUUUGGUCCUCGUAUAGCACUUCGUUGGAGGAGACUUUAUGAGCUAAGAGAUUCUGGCAUAAGGCGUCAGUUCAAAAAUUGAGCCACAUGUCUACCAAUCAAUAUGUUUUCUGAAUUGUGGCGUUUAGGUAAGCCUUCCUUGUCUGGUUUCUCUUGUCAUAAUCAGUCUUUUAUUCAUAAUAUACUAUUAUUCAUUUUAUUUGACACAAACACACACACAGACACACACACAUUUUAUGAGAAGGCAUUUAGGUAUUUGGGUUGAGUUUAGGUUAGGUGGGUGAAAAACAAGGGGGUAGUUAAAAUGGCCACGCCAUUUUUGCCUUUCACUUAUUGUCAAAAACUGCAAGGGGUAUUAAAUAGAAUAGGUUUUCUCACGUGAGAGAAGGGGACAGAGGAGAGUUAAUUAAUUAACAUUGCGCGCCACUAAAUUCAAUUAAGGGUCUGUUGUUUAUGAUAGAUUCGAAUUAAAAGAA